UUUUUUAUCCCCUUUAUUUUUAUUAUUAUGAAAAUAUUCCCAACAUAGACUCUUGUUAUUUUUUUCUCUAUUAUUUUAUCAUGCUUUGUUUCAUGUCAUUUGAACAAUUUUUCAUGGACUUAUGAGGUAUUGAACCUAGUGGCUAAUGAAGUCUAUAACUAUCAUGAUAUUGGAUUGAUUAGGGUUGCUCGAGCCUCCUAUGUUUCAAACCUACUAAUGAA
rnacentral:lncRNA from 1 species